AGCCUAGCUCUGUAUACUGGGGCAUGGCUUACGGAGCGCGGUCUGAAAUAAGCGCUCAUAUUGUCAUAUUCCAACGGAUCGAGUUAUCUCAUCACACCGGCUCAGCUCGAAGAAAAUGUGCAGCUAUUUGUAAUUGAUGUUAUUCCUCUGUAGGGUUUAUUGAGGAUGUCUGUUUCUGGCUCAUGAACCCCGAGUUCUCUAGCAUGUUAGCCUCCAUGGAGUAGCUAGCUAACGUUAGCCAUCUUAAUUAACAUGAAGAUGUCAACAAGUGCUGUCAGGACGCAUACCAUCUCUGUUGCUGAGUGCAGCCCGUUGCUGGUUGCUCAAGGGCAGAUGGACAACGACGAAUAGAUUGAUCCGUAUAGAACUACGAUCCAAUCAUAAAGUCCAUGAGAAAGCCUGCCGAGUGUAUGAAACAAAAUCAUGAAGUGUGAAAAUACACCAAGCAUGACGAAUACUGCCUUUUAUCGUGAUAUUAAUCUAAUCGGAAAACUAAAUGAAAGUCAUCUUCACCGGCAAGUAAUUACCCUAAUGUGCCCACCAAGAGAUGGGAAUACAUGCAGGGCUCAGAUCAAGUGGACGUAACGGAGUGCAACAACAAAGUGGAAGGGUUACAAAGAGAGGAGCAUAAGAAGAAUAUUACACUGGUUGCACAGCAGCCAUCAUGCAACCCAGUGUUCAAGGGAUUCCUCACCAAACUACUGAAAGAGGGAGCCUGGUGUCUGUGGUUGUCUUAAUCAUAGUGGUCAUCAUCUGCAACAAGCUGUGGUCUACAGUCGCCUUGUUUGUCCAGUUCAAGCAAAUCUUUGCCAUUGGUUUCUCAUCAGUCUGGUCUACAAGGCUAUCACUAUGGCCAUCACCACCUUCUUCAUAGAGCCUCUGAAGCACUUUGGCCAGGGGAUCAGCCAGUUCCUACAAGCCCUCCUCAAGGACAUUAGUGUUUAAAGGCACAGUCAACUUAUCUCGGCAAGCAGAGGCGGAGAUCCAGAAGGUUCUGGAGGGAAUGGACAGCUGAAGAACGGGGACUCUGAACGAUGUCCUCAGCCAGAUCCUGGUGAAUCUCAAACCACAUGACUACAAGGCCUGGAGAUGUCAAUUUGAGGACACCUUUGGUGUGGAGAUCGACACAUCCAUGAAGGUUAGAAUGCGUAGUUUAUGUGGUUUGCCUAAGCAAUUUACUGUGGACAUUUGCAGAGUCACCUUGCGGUCACCAGUCACCUUGCAGAUCCCUGUGCUCCUCACCAUCGUGCUCUCCAUCCUGGUCUUUGUGUACAGCAGCGCCCAGGCUGCCAUCCUGCACGGCAUAUCCAGACACCCUGAGGAACGCCGACAGGCGGUACAGCAAGGACGAGAUCAUCUCGGAGAGGUGGGAGCGUUUCCCCGACGGUGUGCGGCCGGAGGGUUGCUCUAACGCAGAGCAUAUCGACCCUCUAAUGGUAGAGGACCGACAUCCAGGAAGAGGUACUGCAAGAACCAGUUGUAGCUGGAGCCACAACUGAAGGCAAUGACUCACAAGAAGCUUAAUCCUCUCCAGCUAAAGGCAAAUCAAAUAUAGGGGGACGUUGCAUCUGAAUCUAAGGGGGAAGCUGACAGCCAGGCUGUCCAAAAGCUGAGUCCCCCCCCCCCUAAAACUAGGUGCCUACCACUAUAUAUAUAUGGGCCAAAAUGGUGACUGAAAAUCAUGUUGUAUGAUGCAAGGAACCACUUUGCAAAAUAAAAAUCAUUAUCAUUAUUAGGCCUAUUAUUACCAUAUAGAGAAUAAGGCUUUGCCUGUCUUAAAAUACAACACUGUCCCUUUUAGGAUGGUUGGCCACCUUUUUUAGGCUAUAAAAUAUAGCAGAAUUAAACAAUCAACAGCCUGACCAACUCUAUGCAAAGGAGAUGUGUUGUGCUGCAUGAGGCAAAUGGUGGCCACACGAGAAACUGACUGGUUUUCUGAUCCAUGCACCUGCGUUUAUUUAACUUUUUUUAAGGUGACCAACAAAUGCAUAUCUGUAUUCCCAGUCAUGUGAAAUCAAUAGAUUAGGGCCUAAUGAAUUAAUUUCAAUUGACUGAUUUCCUUAUAUGAACUGUAGCUCAUUAAAGUCUUUUGAAAUUGUAGCAUGUACCAAACUUCCAAUACAAUAGUCCACAUGACUGGCUGCGUUUUGCUACCACCGGAAACUUCAGGAAGAUUGCCCAUUAUUUAGUUUUUCUAAGUAAAUAUAUUUGAAAGUGAUCAAAAAUAAUGUAUUAUUAGCUAGCUUGCUACAGAAACAUAGCAGCUCAUUUGAUUUAGCCUGCACACUAAGAUAAUAUUCGCUAGUUAGCUAACUUUACAUACAGUAUACCUAGCUACGUAAAUUAAAUGUCAUCAGCUUGCUAUAUUCACAGUAGCUAGUUAGCUAUCUUAAUGCAUUAAUCAUUGUAACUCCAAAUGCAUUUGUAGCUAGAUAGGUAGCAAGCUCAACAGCCAUGAGAAGGGAGAGUAAGCUACUCUGGAUAGGGCAGGUACCUUUGCGGGAGGACAUGAAACUAUUCUCCAUUUCCAAUCCCUGUCCCUAGCAAUAAAAACGGAAGACAGACCUGAAUAUUAUGUUGCUAAAUCUCUCUAACUGAAGUAUAAUGCAGCCUGUUACUUUGCUUUCUGUCCUCAGAUACAGAGAUCUGUCUAACCCUGUCUGCAGAAUGAGGUACCAAUGAAUGUCCCAAAGUCACACACAAUGUAUAAACCUAUUACAACUGGAGCAGGCCAACCCUGAUGGGUGUGCACACUUCUGUUCCAGGCCAGCAUUAACACACCUGAUUCAAUGUAUCAAACCUAAUUAGUUAAUAAUCAAGUGUGCUAUUUCUGGGCUGGAACGGAAGUCGUAUCACCCAGUGGAUCAUAGGAGUUACUUUUUUUGUUCAACUGAAAUGAUGUUUUAUUAAUAAUAGCCUACUUGUCUAGCCUCUACAUAUGAGUUAGCUUACUUGUACACUUUGAAAUGAUGAGUUUUGAUUCUUUGACAGUGUUUUAAACUUGUUGUAAUUAACUGAACUAUUAUUCAAGAUGAACUAGUGUUGAUAUUGGUUUAUCACAGAUCACAACCCUGCAAUAAAAAGGGGAAGGGAGUGUCUCUUCACUUGAAUGUUUCUGUGUUCUCAAAUGAACAUCACCUUUUUGUUAGGUCAUAAGCUUUCCAAUUCGUUUUAUUUGUUUGUCACCAUUUUGUUUUCAGGAUAUCAGCCAUAUGUACCCAUUUUGCAGCUGAUAAUGGAAUCCAACGCAAAUGCAGCCAUAGGCCUACAGCAGUGGUUCCCAAUUCCAGUUCUCAAAUACCCCCAACAGCACACAUUUUUGUUGUAGCCCCAUACAAACAUAGCUGACUCAACUCAUUGAGGGCCUGAUGAUUAGUUGACAUGUUGAAUCCGGUGUGUUUGUCUGGGGCCACAAUAAAAAUGUACUCUUGGGGGAACUCGGACCGGAGUUGGGAACCACUGGCCUACAGUAGGAUGGCAUUAGCCUUAUGGGCAUUUGCAAUGCACCCUUUGACAUUGUGCAUCUGAAGCAGCUGAAGCUUAACUCACACACUGUUUACAUAUUGUUCAGCUAUAUAUUCAGAAUAAAAAAAUUAU